rnacentral:rRNA from 1 species
GUCGAGAAUCAUUCGCAAUGGGCGAAAGCCUGACGAUGCGACGCCGUGUGAGCGAAGAAGGCCUUAGGGUCGUAAAGCUCUUUCGCUUGGGAAUAAGACAAACUGGCUAAUAUCCAGUGAGUUUGAACGUACCAGGUAAAGAAGCACCGGCUAACUCCGUGCCAGCAGCUGCGGUAAUACGGAGGGUGCAAGCAUUAAUCGGAUUUAUUGGGCGUAAAGGGCGCGUAGGCGGGGAUGUAAGUCAGACGUGAAAUCCCGGGGCUCAACCUCGGAACAGCAUUUGAAACUACAUCUCUCGAGGGUAGGCGGAGAAAACGGAAUUCCACAAGUAGCGGUGAAAUGCGUAGAUAUGUGGAAGAACACCGGUGGCGAAGGCGGUUUUCUAGCUUAUUCCUGACGCUAAAGCGCGAAAGCAAGGGGAUCAAACAGGAUUAGAAACCCUGGUAGUCC